rnacentral:tRNA from 1 species
UAUAUUUAAGUAUUUUAUGUACAAAAGUUUUUGAUUCUUUUAGGGUAGUUUAAUUCUAUAAAAUAUAA